GACGAACGCUGGCGGCGUGCUUAACACAUGCAAGUCGAGCGGUAAGGCCCUUUCGGGGGUACACGAGCGGCGAACGGGUGAGUAACACGUGGGUGACCUGCCCUCAGCUCUGGGAUAAGCCUGGGAAACCGGGUCUAAUACUGGAUAUGACUCCAUGACGCAUGUUGUGGGGUGGAAAGCCUUGUGCGGCUGAGGAUGGGCCCGCGGCCUACCAGCUUGUUGGUGGGGUGAGGCCUACCAAGGCGACGACGGGUAGCCGGCCUGAGAGGGCGACCGGCCACACUGGGACUGAGACACGGCCCAGACUCCUACGGGAGGCAGCAGUGGGGAAUCUUGCGCAAUGGGCGAAAGCCUGACGCAGCGACGCCGCGUGAGGGAUGACGGCCUCGGUUGUAAC
rnacentral:rRNA from 1 species